ensembl:lncRNA
GUGUUGACACAGCAGUUUUCUCAGCAUGGGUUCAAAGUGCAAAUUGCCUGUGUUAAUUUGGAAAUCCUCAGCACAGCUCAGAAAGGACAGACAUCACUAAUCAACUAUGACACUCUUCCACUCUGAGCUCAGAUCUGGAUACACAGCACUAGAGAUCAUCAACAACUGAUCAGAAUUAGUUUGGUCUGCAUCAGCACAGUUGGCCUCAGUCCAGAUCUCCUGAGUGCCAGAGGAUCUGUCUGGCAGAUGUGUUUCUGAGCAACCCAGCUGAAUGCCCCUACAAGGUUAUUAAAAGAUACUGAGUACUGGGUGAGAAUGGAUACAUGUAUAUGUACAACUGAGUCCCUUUGCUGCCCACCUGAAACUAUUACAGUAUUGUUAACUGGCUGUACUCAAAUA